rnacentral:lncRNA from 1 species
AUGACUGUGUCAACACUGUGUUUGGAUUUGGUAUUUAUGCUAUUUAUAGCCUUCCAAUGCCAAUGCCAAACUAAAAUUCCACCCAUGACAGAUGGACGUUGUUCAAAAGGAUAUUACAAAUCAGGACAGGACUGUGUGAAGUGUGCGAGUGGUUUUUAUACUGAUUUACCAAAUAAUCUGAAACAUUGUUUGAGAUGUA